AAACCGAAUAUCUUUAUUAAAAUCGAACCGAAUAUAUUUUUUUUCCUUUUAGAAAACAACCAAAAAAGAUCUAAUUAUCAAUGCACAUGUGUAUGCUAGGAAUUUUAUCCCAGCUUUAUCUUCAUGUCAACCAUUUUUAUGGUUGUUUUGAUACCUAGAGAGAACUACAGUACAAGAAAACUUGCAAUUCAAAAAGUACAAAGUUGUACUCCCUCUCUCAAAUAGUCCUCAUAUAUUAUCAUGUACUAUGGUGUAGUACAAGUUUAGUCAAGUACUCAAUCAAGCAGGAGCUGUUGUUAUAUAACUUGGUAUAAACUGAGUGAGCAUCACAAGCACAGCCAUGUUAAGAGGUAAAGGAGUCCCACAGGGGUAACCUGAGAUCACUUGUGGACACCCCUCACCAACAGCCAUUGUGGUGACUAGGUCGUCUUUUGUGCUUCAUGUGUUCUCAGGUCGCCCCUGCAGGGCUUCCCUUUACCACAAACUCUGCUAAACAAGGGCUUAGCCCUCUGUGUGAUUGCACCUCCAUUGUAUCCUGCAAAGUUUCCUCUUUCGAAAUCUAGUUCAAUGUCAAAGAGGGUCAUGCAUGUGGAAAAGUCGAAUAGUCUGCAUUAGGCAACGCAAAAAGUUGGACGAAACAAUGCUAAGGCAGCGCUAUUAAUGGUUGUAGCCUUGCUGCACAGUAACUUUGUAAUAAAUAUGCAGCAGCCAAAUUAUUUUGACCUAAAGAGAGUACCAAUACCUUAUGUAAAAAAAAAAAAAAAAAAAACAUUUCUUUUAUUGUUCUCUAGCAAAUAAAUGUUACUUUGACAACAUGUUUCUUGCA